GUUCUGAGCAUGAUACUUCAACUGUAUAUAUAUCGAACUUCAUGCCUCCUAGCUUGAACAUCGAACAUACAUUGCAGGAGCAAAUAUGUAUUCACAUUAACCAAGUAGCGUCCAAGUUGCAUAUCAAGCACUGAAACCCUUGUGUACAGAGCUCCAAGGGUUCGAGGGGAUCCUUACACAAGCUUGAGCAGACACCUCCGCCAUCGUCUCCUUCCUAAUGCCCGCAUUGCACAUGUUUGCAAAGGAGCGCAUGUGUUUCAUACCAUACUGUGUCAGAGACCCACAAUGUGCUUCGAAAGUUCGAACCAUCGACUUAAGGCACUCCCAGUCAUCUACCAAAGCCUGCCCUGCUGGCCGCACAGCCUUUAGCACUUCCGACGCCUUGUCGGUUCCAAAGAGAAGCUUCCCAAUGAGUGAUACACUAUUGUCCACAUGCAAGCGAUGAUCCAUUACAUCAACCAGCUGUCUUUGAGCAUUAAGUUUUGCAGAAGAGCCUUCUGGUGAUCUCCGGAACUUGUGCCAAUAAUGAAGAAGAUCUGCUUCUCGUUGGUUCACAGGUUUUGGAGAUGUUCGUAACGAGUUAUCAUCAAUGAAAGUGAAAUUGUCGUUUGAAGGAUUCGAACCCAUGUACAAGAAAAGAUGUUCUGUGGUGAGACCUAGACUCCCGUAUUCCAUGACAUGUGACCCAUAGCUAUAUGUGUUUUGAGCUGCCGUUCUGGAUUUGACCGUUUG
rnacentral:misc_RNA from 1 species